rnacentral:rRNA from 1 species
UGGGGAAUUUUGGACAAUGGGCGAAAGCCUGAUCCAGCAAUGCCGCGUGUGUGAAGAAGGCCUUCGGGUUGUAAAGCACUUUUGUCCGGAAAGAAAUGGCUCUGGUUAAUACCUGGGGUCGAUGACGGUACCGGAAGAAUAAGGACCGGCUAACUACGUGCCAGCAGCCGCGGUAAUACGUAGGGUCCAAGCGUUAAUCGGAAUUACUGGGCGUAAAGCGUGCGCAGGCGGUUGUGCAAGACCGAUGUGAAAUCCCCGAGCUUAACUUGGGAAUUGCAUUGGUGACUGCACGGCUAGAGUGUGUCAGAGGGGGAUAGAAUUCCACGUGUAACAGUGAAAUGCGUAGAGAUGUGGAGGAAUACCGAUGGCGAAGGCAGCCCCCUGGGAUAACACUGACGCUCAUGCACGAAAGCGUGGGGAGCAAACAGG